rnacentral:rRNA from 1 species
UUGGCAUGACCGACUGGGGUUAUAGGACAGCAACACUGUACAACAGAGACUAGAUGAAGUGUUUGGAAUGACACGCCAAAGAGAGUGAAAGCCUCGUAAUUAAAAAUCAAAGUUGGCAAGCUGAAUCCUGAGUAGCACGGUACACGAGAAAUUCCGUGUGAAUUCGCGAGGACCACCUCGUAAGGCUAAAUACUCACUUGUGACCGAUAGUGAACCAGUACCGCGAGGGAAAGGUGAAAAGAACCCCGGAAGGGGAGUGAAAUAGAACAUGAAACCGUGAGCUUACAAGCAAUGGGAGGACGAUUUAACGUCUGACCGUGUGCCUGUUGAAGAAUGAGCCGGCGACUUAUAGGCAGUGGCAGGUUAAGGGGAAAAUCCCGAAGCCAAAGCGAAAGCGAGUUUGAUAAGAGCGAUAGUCACUGUUUAUAGACCCGAACCCGGGUGAUCUAACCAUGGGCAGGAUGAAGCUUGG